rnacentral:rRNA from 1 species
UACGUAGGGUGCAAGCGUUGUCCGGAAUUAUUGGGCGUAAAGAGCUCGUAGGCGGUCUGUCGCGUCGGCUGUGAAAUCCCGAGGCUCAACCUCGGGUCUGCAGUCGAUACGGGCAAACUAGAGUAUUGCAGGGGAGACUGGAAUUCCUGGUGUAGCGGUGAAAUGCGCAGAUAUCAGGAGGAACACCGGUGGCGAAGGCGGUUCUCUGGGCCUGACCUGACGCUGAGGAGCGAAAGCGUGGGGAGCGAACAGG